UUUCUGCACUAUCGCCAGUAUCGGCCCACUUUUAGGCGUGACACCACCACCACGCCGACACUUAUUUUCGUGGUGCCGAUACAUCGUACAAGUAUUACCUUGACCGAGGACACUAUGUUAAACAAUUGAAUGGCACAUACAGCUGUCCAAGGUUACAGGACUGUGCCGCUGCUUGCCUCAUGGAACACAGGGCCACUUUUGCAGUUUGUGGCCGGAACCCACCAAAUCUCUGUUACUGCUACAUAAAACGACAUUGAAGUGAGCAACAUACAGUUGCAGAAAACGAUGAAAACAUUAGCGCCUGAAACGAUGAAAACAUUAGCCCCAGCGGGCCGAAGACGCCGCAAGAGCCCAAUGGCUCAGGUCGUCAUCUAGGUAGAGAGGCCGAGGUCUCGCAAAUCUGCUAGACAAAUAAAGUUUAUUCCUCGUCCUCCUUUGGAACUUGACCAGGCCACAGCGGGAAACACUCAUUCACCAUAUAAUAAUAAUAAUAAUAAAACACUGAUCAAGCAAGCAGAAGUAUCAACGUAAUUAGAUAGUUUUAAAUUAGUAUUUAUA